AUCAAUACUCUCGCACGUGACUUAACUCGAAAUCAUUACAACACUAAUGAAGGAUUAUAAAGCAUUAAACAUGGAAUUGCAUUAAAUCAACACUAUGAACAGAGUAGUUUCUUACACAUAUAGCAGAUUACAUGAGGUCUAUCUACAUCCUAGGCUACCCUAGAUCCUACCUCCGAAGAACUUAGCUCCUCAUCUCCCUUUGUUCGCGUCCGAGCUUCAAUGUCAUGGCUUGUGAAUCCAUGCUAUCGAUGUGCUUGGAGCUGUCCUCUGGAG
rnacentral:lncRNA from 1 species